rnacentral:lncRNA from 1 species
UUUUUUUUUAAAUAUCAGUAAAAUUUUCGAAAUAAGACCCUUUCUUUGAAUUUAAAUAACAUGGGUGUUAACACCGUCGUUCUCACCAGCGCAAUUGCAAUAGCGGUGGUGCAGGUGGCGGUGAUGAUCAACGUAUGAUGUUUCAUUGUUGCAAUCUAUGUGAUGGUUUCUUGUUUUAGUAUUCUUUUAUUCGUUGUACAUCAGCCAUAUGUCGUAAUCAAUGGAAACUCUUGUAUUCCUUAAUCAAUGUUUCAAUGUUGUUUCAGAAUGGUAUCAUUUCAGUUAAGGUCCGACCCGACAAACCGAAACAGGAUUAGGUGACAAUUGUUUUUGCUGUGCAAGAUUAGGGGACAUUAAUUUCGCACACCAACUGUUUGAUAAAAUGCUUGAUCGCGAUGUCAAUGCCUGGAAUGCAAUAAAGGAAGAAUCUAUGCAAUAUGGGGAGCAGUUGAUGGGAUAACAAUCGUGUUUUUCACGAUAGGAAUGUAGGCUUGAAGAUCAAUGAGGUGUCAGCGGUAUUCUUUUCAUUGUUUCGGAAACAAAUGUUUGUUGUUUGAUUUUAAUCCGUAAAGUACAAAUAACAAUAUGCUUAUAAGAACAAAUCGAAAAUUAUAAUUCUAGACAACAAGAAUGCUAGCUAAUUUAAUUUUCACUUUGAUGGUGAAUUAUAUAUCAGUUUUAGCACACAGGUAAAUCUGGUGGCGGUUGCUCCAGUUUCUGCAUUGGCCCAGGCCCAUCCUCCACAACAAACACUGUGGCCAGACCCCAACCGAUGUGUACGUCUAAGUGGCAGUGCAUGAUCCAGGUAAGCUAACUGUAUUUCUAAGAGGUGGGUCCACAAGGUUGAAUUUAGCAGUAUCGGUUUUAGGGUUGAAGUUUCCGAAUCCCUCUGCAAGUAUAUAGAAAUCGUAUCCAUGAAGAUGAAUCGGGUGGUUCUCAGCUGUAAAGAUAUUUGUUCCUUGCAACACAAUCUGAACACUUGAUCCAUAUUUCAACUUAUACACCUUGGUCCCACGAGUAGGCUGCCACAACGACCGGCUUACAUUACCCGUAUAAUCAAAGGUAACCGGUGGCUUUGCCGGAAAAUCGGUUGUGAAGACCCCUGGUAUUCCUUGGUGAUGUGCUUGAAGUAUAGAGAUAUUUGAUGGGAGUACAAACGACACAUUGUUCAUGCUGGCGGUGAAGCGGGUCCCAUUGGGCGCCUGACAGUUUCUAGCCCGUGUUUUUGGGGGGCACUGGUUGAUUCCAAGUCCCAUCGUGAUGAACAGAUUGUGGUCAAUUUCAGUCGGGACAAUGGGUUUUCUAAGGCUUCUGAAGCUGGUGGUGAAGGCGGUAGCGGUGGCAGUGUCGUUAUAUGCCGGGAGAGGCGGCAUAAUUGGCUUUGAAGUGGCGGAUUUGUACUCCAAAAUGGCGGUGGUGGUGGUGUUGUCGAACGGUGCACCUUGUGCACUGGCGUAAGCCCGUGCAGCAAUGUAGUAACGGCCUGUCGGCUGGUCGGCUUUCAUGAGGACAUCGGUGGUCUGUCCCGGUCCAAGCAUGAGGACUUUCGUGGUAAAGGGUUUUACGUAGGAAGCAUCCGCUCCCACCACUGUAAGCUUGUGGUUAGCAAUAGUGAAAAAUAGUUGUUGAUUUAGAGCAGCAUUAAUCACCCGAAUUAGGCUUGUUUCUCCUGGGUUGACUGGUACUUUGAUUGUAUCUAUAUUCAAAAAAACAUUAAUUUAUUUUCUUAACAAUAUCAAAAAUUUUAAAUUUUCAUAUAUUUUGUAGAACUGUAGAAGCAGACCUUUGCUAGAGCAUUUAUAGAGAUCACCAGGUUGACCGUUAAUGGUAUACGCAUCAGAAACGUUUGGAGCUGCACCUGUUCUUGUGGCUUCUCGUACAACAUCUAUCGGGUUUGCAUCCCACCAUUCACCUGCCAUCGUCAUCAUCAUCAUAUUAGAUCACAUAUGUAAUAUUUUGGACUUCUGCUAAAUGUACAUUUUCUUUGCGAAUAAACUUUAUACCAAGAGUAAU